GAACUCAUCAACUGGAAGGAAUCCCUUCCGGUUGAUGAGGUUUAGCCUCCUCAUCAACUGGAAGGAAUCCCUUCCAAUUGAUGAGGAAGCUAUACCUCAUCGACAUGAAGGGAUCCCUUCCAGUCGAUGAGGUU
rnacentral:miRNA from 1 species